GUUUACAAGGGCAUUGCCUGGCUGGUGUUUACUGCUAUCUAGCGCAACGCCAGAUGCAAUAUCAAAGCGACUUCUUUUUUUCAUUUUGAGUAGCGGAGAUCUCAACACCUCAAAGAUGAAGUCCACUAUGCUCCUGGUUCUGGCCUUCAGCUGCUGUGUGUGUGAGCCUGAAAGUGCUGGAAAUGGUGACCAACUCACCGGCAACGGAGACCUUGUUGCCCUGGUCCUCAAGGUCACCAACAUGGCCGACAAAAUAGCCCUUCUGGAGGCCAAGUUGCUGAACGCUGAAAAAGAAAUCAAGGAGUUGCGGAAUAUUACUACAGGCGGUCCUCGCGUGGCCUUCUCUGCAACUCUUAGUGACUCUGAGCGUGGGGACACCGGCCCUUUCACCGCUGCAGUCCCUCUACAGUACAGGAAGGUGUUCGCCAACGCUGGCAACUGCUACAAUCGUGCAACAGGCAUCUUCACAGCGCAGGUCAGAGGAAUGUACUACUUCCGCUACUCCAUGUUCGCCAACCUGGGGAAGCCCAACUCGGUCGUGAGCCUGAGGAAGAACGGUGAGCGGCUCAACUCUGUCUGGGACACCUCGACGACCGACGGAAACGACAACGGCAGCAACGCUGUGGUCAUCGACCUGGAGGUGGGGGACAGCGUGUAUGUGGAACUGCAGGCCGGCCGAAAGGUCUACGAUGACGCCAUGCACUACAACACCUUCAGCGGCUUCCUGCUCUUCACCAUGUAAUAGAACAACCACACCAUCAUUUCCUGCUCUUCACCAUGUAAUAGAACAACCACACCGUCAUUUCCCCACUUCCUGCUCUUCACCAUGUAAUAGAACAACCACACCGUCAUUUCCCCACUAUUAAGGCCCGUUCACACCAUGUAAUAGAACAACCACACCGUCAUUUCCCACUAUUAAGGCCCGUUCACACCAAGCGGCUUCCUGCUCUUUACCAUGUAAUAGAACAACCACACCGUCAAUUCCCCACUUCCUGCUCUUCACCAUGUGAUAUAACAACCACACCGUCAUUUCACUAUUAAGGCCCAAUCACACCAAGAACGAUAACGAUAACGAUAACUAUAAACAAAUAUCGCUCUCGUUAAUAUGAAUGACAAUGUUCAUACAUAAACUAUAACGAUAACGACAUGAAGGACGAUAUUGUUGUUGAUCACUUUCAGAGCGAUUUUGAGAACGAUAAAAAGCUAACAGCCAAUCAGAACCCAUAAUAUUCUAGCCAUCACAUUUAUUAACAUGAGGAGAGACUUUUCUUAUCGUUGGCCAGUGUGGACGCUUUUAUCGUUAUGGUUAUAGUUAUCGUUAUCGUUCUUGGUGUGAACGGCCCUUUAGCCACGGCUUAUACAUUGAUUUACCGUCAUUUCCUCACUAUUAGCCGCGGCUCAUACGUUGAUUUUGCAACAUUUCUUCAGCUAUGAGGUUAAUACACGGGGGCAGUUAAUAUGGUAUUAAUAUGGUUUUGUUUAUUUUAACUCGCAUAAAACACUGUCCUGCGGCUUAUACACAAUGCGGCUAAUACACAGGAAAUUACUUACAGUACAUCAGCUUUAGAGAUAAAUGUAUGUAAUAAUAAGAAUAUAUAAGUAAGUUUAAGUAUAUAAUAAAAAUAAUAAUAUAUAUAUGUAAUAUAUUCGCACUUGUUCUUACCGAACUCUACUUUUUUAAAUGAUCCUAGAAUUGCUGUGAGAAUUGUUUUAAAAAGCUUUAAAUGUUUACCAUGUUGUAAGUGGCUUUGGGCUGAAAAGCGUCAGCCAAAUGUAAUGUAAUAUAAUGUAAUACAGUAUAAUGCAAUAUCAUGUAAUGUAAUGUAAAUGUCUCUUUAUACUGUUACAGAGAGAAUAAGUACAGUAUGUCUUUAUUCUGACUUCCUGCUGACUAGAGGCGUGGGCUGUGGGCUCUGUGUCCCUAUGAGAUGAUCUACUCACAGCCAAACAAAUGCUCUGCUGUGAAUGAAAAUGGAGCUGAAUAGAGCCAACUGCUAGAACAUACAGCACGUAGCGAUGUAGCAAUGUGUGUAAUAUACAGCAUGUAGCGAUGUAGCAAUGUGUGUAGCAUAUAGCAUGUAGCGAUGUAGCAAUGCGUGUAACAUACAGCAUGUAGCGAUGUAAUGCGUGUAGCAUACAGCUUGUAGCAAUGGCUUUUGUUUUGUAUCAAUGUGACCACAUCUGGUUAUAAACAUCUUAGAA